GACGAACGCUGGCGGCGUGCUUAACACAUGCAAGUCGAACGGAAAGGCCUAGCUUGCUGGGUACUCGAGUGGCGAACGGGUGAGUAACACGUGGGUGAUCUGCCCCUGACUUUGGGAUAAGCCUGGUAAACUGGGUCUAAUACCGGAUAUUCAUUUUUCCUCGCAUGGGGAUUUGUGGAAAGCUUUUGCGGUUGGGGAUGGGCCCGCGGCCUAUCAGCUUGUUGGUGAGGUAAUGGCCUACCAAGGCGACGACGGGUAGCCGACCUGAGAGGGUGAUCGGCCACACUGGGACUGAGACACGGCCCAGACUCCUACGGGAGGCAGCAGUGGGGAAUAUUGCACAAUGGGCGCAAGCCUGAUGCAGCGACGCCGCGUGAGGGAUGACGGCCUUCGGGUUGUAAACCUCUUUCAGCUCCGACGAAGCGCAAGUGACGGUAGGAGCAGAAGAAGCACCGGCCAACUACGUG
rnacentral:rRNA from 1 species